UUCUGGUUAGUGCACGUAGCAGGGUCAUCUUGAUAGUGGGUAAGCAGCUUCACGGGACGGGGCAUCAUAAAUCUGCGAGCAUACUUUAUUCUGCAUGGAGCUUCAUUGAGUAGAAAAGGGAAGGCCUUACGCGAUCAAGACAAGGAAGGACGACUUUUCUUGGAUUCCAGAGGACGUUUAGGUGGUUUUCGAUGUGAAUGCCUCGGUAAAUAUCUGAUGCAAUUCAUCGACUUAUUACUUUACAACUUUUAAAAAACUAUGCUAGUUUUGCAAGAUCUUGAAAAAAAUCGUAUACAAUUCUAUGUAUCAAUAUUUUGAAUAUUUUGAUGGAUUUCAAGUGUUUCGUAUCGAGUAAAAGUCAAAUUCGUGAGCGUC